CCCUUUUAGAGGCCGCAAGAAGAGAAGUAUCCUGUAGGACCAUGGCUGUUGGCACUGUUUGUUUUUGUUGUCUGUGGCUCAGCCAUCUUUCAGAUCAUUCAGAGCAUCAGGAUGGGCAUGUGACAGUCCUGGGGAUCUGACACGGCCUCCUGGAGGCCGGAGGACCGCGAAGUGUUCAGCCAGUAUCUGUGGGAAGCAAAGCCACACAGAACAGGAAAAGUCUCCCUCAAUUGUUCCCUCAUCACUUCAUCGUGGAUGUCAGACAAAAUUGCUUCUCCCAGGACAUCUUGGCUCAUCUGUGUUCUGAAGCGGAAAGGACAUUUUGCUUUUCUGAUGGCCGGAUUGGUAGCCAUGCGGGUCGUCCAGGGCAGCGUGUCUGUGUGCUUUUUCCCUUGGUUUCAUUAAUGUAUGCAUGUGGCCCUCUGAAUGGUCGCUGGUUUACUUUCUAUGGAUAUGAUCUUCCUCCAUUGGGAAUCAGUUUUACAAAUAAAUGUCUUCAUUCAACUUCA